rnacentral:lncRNA from 1 species
UUCUUUAAUCUCUGAUGGUCGUUAUCUGUGGGCCCACUGGACUAUCUCGCGCGUGCACGCGGAACCGGAGGUGGGUGGAGGGUGGAAUGAGAGAGAAACCCAUCCGCAGAAGGAGGGGCCCUACCUUACUCAGUCUUCAGCCCGGACAGAAGCAAAACCACAGGCCCCCUCUCCCACCCCACUCGCGCCGCGUUUCCUUUCCAGCCUCUUCCCUGAGACACUAGAUCAGGACCAUUUGCCUUUUCUUAUCUCUGUGUGUUUCCUAACACAAUUUUAAAACACCUCUGAGGCUUCAUAGAGGGGUAAAGUGUCAAAAGAAAUACACGAAUAAGAGUAAAACGUGCCGUCUUCACAGCCUUUAUCAAGAAAGCAGCCACAGUUGCUGCUGCUCUGGCCGCACCUCAGCGGACUGGUUUGUCCUCAUUGGUUUGUCCUCAUUUGUUUUUUAACUCGGCCUUAAUCUCUGGACUUUGUUAUGCCUUAAAACAGACACACACAUACACACACUUGAAAAUUGCCUUAACCCCCAGAUCAUACUCAUUUGUUCCAUUCAGAUGUUUACCUCGGAAUUAAGGACUUCUGUAUAGGAUUUGAGAGAAAACACAACAGCCCAUUCUUACUGACCUUUGGUAAAGUUCUGCGUGGGAAAGGGAGCAAGAAGGAGUAUCCUUAUAUAAGAAGUUCUUCAAGGAUGAGAGGACCUUUACUAAAAUUUUUUCUGCUGCUCAGAAUUUAGUUUACUAAAUUUUAGUUUGAGUGUGAAAAUAGAUGAGAAAAGGAAAAAGGCAUUUUGCAAAGCUAGCAGUUAUAAUGUAUUACAGUGGAUCCAGGGCUUAGAGUCAGACAGGCCAGAUUCCAUUCCAAACUCCAUCUUUACGCUUUCUGUGCCUACCAAUUAUAACUGUCAACAGGAAUUCUAUAAUCUAGCUCACGGAGUCACAGUCACAUUUACAGGAGUUAAAAUAGAGUUGUGAUAGGCGCAGAGAAAAUACUCAAUAAAUAUUUGGUUCUUAUAUCCCACCAUGUUUUACUGUAAUUAGGAGAGAGGGUGGUGCUAGAAAUUUUCCCCCAAAGACCCUGUAACUGAAUCAGUUUUCUUCUCCUUAAUGCUUUUUCCAUUUAAAAAGGCAUCAUUUCACAAUUUUUGAAAUGGAAACUAUGUUUACAGAUUAACUAGUUCCAGCUGAACUCCCUUAUUUUAAAUACAAGGUAACUGAAGUCUAGGGCUCUUAAGUGACUUUCCCCAAAUCUCAUGGUUUGGAGGUACUAAAGCUAAUAUCAGAAAUCAGUCCUCAUAAUAACUUGGCUGGGGUCCUCUUUUAACUGUUUUUCUCUUUAUCACAAUAGUCAAGCACACAUAAAAAUAAUUAUAUUAAAAAUAUUAAUCUCAGGACAAAUGCUAGUUUUUUUCUGUAAAUAACUCUUAAGCAAUUAAUUUAUGAACAAUCAUUAAAAAUUAAAUAAUGUCAUUUAGAUGAUCACUUGGUAUCAAUGUGAUUAUAAAAAUAAAACAAAUGGUAGUCCAGUAUUUAGGAAUAAGGAGGUUGAUGAGAUGAACGAAUCCAUGCUUACAUUAUAUAUUUACACAUAGAUAUUUUGGGUUUUUUAGCCAUAAUAUUAAAAGAUUAUAAUAACUCUCGAUUCCCAAGAAUACAUCAACAUACCACUACAGUUGGCUGACCCUAGUUUGUGAACAACUAGAUCAGUGUUCAGGACACACAAUUCAACUUGAACAAGUUCAAGGCCAAAGAACAAAAUCAGGCUACAGAGAUCAAACUUUCCAUCCUGUGAAAUAAUGGAAAAUCCCAUAGCAUGUACUUAUUUCUCAUUCAUUUGCCUCUAGUACCUGUAAGAAGGUCUUUUUAAAAAAUUCUUCCUUACCAUAUACAAUGUUGAAAAUCAUCUGAACAUUUACAUAACUAACUCCCAUGUUCUCAGGGAUGAGACCCUAUAUACUCCUUCUAAGUAAGAGUUAUUUACUACUCCGGCCUCAUCCUCAGUUUCCUAAAGGCAUAUCAUAGCCUCUUUAGAGAUCUGUCUUUCCUAUCCAUAAGACUUGGAAGAUCCUAAAGAGGGAAAAAAAAAUAUGGCUACAAAGCACAUCCAUCAUGAAUGGAUAAAUGAAGAUAGAUGAGUCCUCAUAACUGUCUUUUUCCAAUCGUUACAUACAGUGCUAAAGAUUACUCACUUUUAUAUUUUCUCCCACUGUUUAAAGUCUUUAAACUUGCUAUUGCUUUGUAAUUUUUAUAACCUGACUUUUGAUAUGAUCUUCUUUGUGAAAUGGCUUAGAGGUAUAAAAAUCUCAAGAGUGUCAGAACCAAGUUUUUAAAAACAAUAGAACCAAAUGGAACAAGAUUUUAAAACAAAUUUAUAGCAUGCCCCAGGAAGUGAAGAAGGGAGAUGCCAAAGAAAAGGGUUGCAGAAGCCUAGCAGGGCACUACGAUGACAAAUACGCCUAAUUUUACCUACUGCAAAUACCUCAGAUUUCCAUUUGAAAGUUCUUCACAUUCAUCAUAGGUUCAUAUAGACCCUGAUAGAAACUCAGCAGCUUUCCAGUAAUUUUUAUUUUUAUUUAUUUAUUUAUUUUUUUUUUUUGAGGCGGAGUCUUGCUUUGUCGCCCAGGCUGGAGUGCAGUGGUGCGAUCUUGGCUCACUGCAAGCUCCGCCUCCGUGUUCACACCGUUCUCCUUCCUCAGCCGCCCGAGUAGCUGGGACUACAGGCGGCCGCCACCAUGCCCGGCUAUUUUUUUUUUUUUUUUUUUUUUUUUUUGUAUUUUUAGUAGAGACAAGAUUUCACUCUGCUAGCCAGGAUGGUCUCAAUCUCCUGACCUCGUGAUCCACCCGCCUCGGCCUGCCAAAGUGCUGGGAUUACAGGUGUGAGCCACCACGCCUGGCCUCCAGUAUUUUUAAAUUAAUUUUCUUGCUCAAACCAGAAUUAAGUUUCUCUUACCCUAACUAAGGGAACUUUGGCUAAGACAAAAAAACGACCUGUUACUUACCUUAAGAAAACCAAUUUUAUUUCUGAUUAUUGCAAAAGCACACAAAAAAUAUGCUGGUUGUUUAGCCCUAUAUUUCUGCAAAACCAACAUUUAAAGUAUUUGACAACUUUUUAAAAACUGUAAUGAAAACCAAGACUGAAAUUCAAAUUUCAGUCAUGUGAUUUGAAAGGGGGUCAUGUUUCUGUUUGUCAUGUGUAACAGUGGCCAAAUAUCCUAUGAGUUCCUAGGGGCUCUGGGUUCCAAAGUUACUGUGUUACAUUUACCUUCAAACCUCUAUCAUUUUAUCUGUCAUUCUGAAAGAAUCGCUUUAUUUUGAUCUUCUUGAUUAAGAACAUGAAACAUGACCAUUGCAAAAAAAGAAAAAAAAAUAGGAGGGCAACUGCAAAAGGGAAAUAAAUAUCACCUGUAUUCCCAUCACCAAAAGUACCUAUUGCUCACAUUUUCUCUAUAUGCUCCAAGGUUUGUUGAGGCCUCUGAGAGACCCGGAUAAAUAGUAUCCCUUCUUUAUGCCUGGGUGGGGAAUAAAUUGACCAAAAAAAUGAGAGCAAAAUAUUACUCUAUGAUUGACAGAUAACGGAUUUGAAUUGGUAGAUCCAAAAGCAAAGAACUGAAACAGCAGCCUCAGUCAACGUAGUUCCUGGCCUCCUUCUAACCUGAAAGGAGACAGUGCCUUUGAAAAAGGAUUUAAAUUGUUUUUUGAGUUCUAUUCCAAAGAAUGAAAGAGAGAGAAAGGUAGUUGAGCCUGGCAUGCCCAGCAAUUCUUCCCAAGUUUAUUCCUAAGUUUAUCUACCAAAUGUCAUAACAUCUCUCCAAGGGCAAGUAAGUAAAGACCCAGUAAAAUAUUUUUGCAUGGAAACCAGGAGUAGAGGAAAGGCAUUACCCAGCACCCACAGACACUUAACAAUUUUCUUUCCAUUUUUUUCAUGUGGAAGUAUAACGUACAUACUACUCCUUUUUUUUUUUUUUUUUUUUUUUUUUUUGAGACGGAGUCUCCCUCUGUCGCCCAGGCUGGAGUGCAGUGGCGCGAUCUCGGCUCACGGCAAGCUCCGCCUCCCGGGUUCACGCCAUUUUCCUGCCUCAGCCUCCUGAGUAGCUGGAACUACAGGCGCCGCGCCACCACUCCCGGCUAAUUUUUUUAUUUUAUUUUAUUUUUUAUUUUUAGUAGAGACGGGGUUUCACCGUAGCCAGAAUGGUCUUGAUCUCCUGACCUCGUCAUCCGCCCGCCUCGGCCUCCCAAAGUGCUGGGCUUACAGGCGUGAGACACUGCGCCCGGCCCAUACUACUACUUUUUUGUAAGUAUUCUUUCAAAAUAUUUAUUUUCAUAUGCAUUUUUCGUUUACCUAAAUGACAUCAUGUAAACUAUUCCAUCUUGGCCCUUAAUUUUUUUUCUCCAAACACUUAAAUUUUCAAAUAAUCUUAGUGAAAAAUUAGCAGCUCAAUCGCUUUAAUUUUUAUUACUUUCACUGUUAAUAAAACUGAAUAAGUUUUCAUAAAGUUAAUAACCGUUUAUAUUUUCUUUUGUGAGGUGGCUAUUUAUAUAUUCUGUACAUUUUUCUCUUUUCUCUAUUGUUUCAUAUAUUUUUUCUUUUUCUUAUUGAUUUUUAAAGGUUCUGUAUGAGGUAAAUAUAUUAACCUCUAGCCAAAAAACGGGUAUUUGUCUUAUUAACUUAAUUAAAAUAAUUAAAUUAUUUUGUUCUAUUUUAAAACUAUGUAGAAUUUCUUUAAAUGUAAUCGGUUUAUGAUUUCUUGAGUUUUUAAAAAAUAUAAUGACAUUUCACCCAAACUAAUUAGCAAUAUUUUCUUCUAGUAUUUUGUAGUUUUCGUUUUUCAAUUUAUUCUGAUGUGAAAUUUCAUGUGCACUCUAGAUGAUAGUGAAUGAAUACCUUAUAUGGAGUCCAGCCAUGACCAAAAGACAGGAGCUAACACUCAGCUUCAUGGAAAGGCCCAAUCUAAUGUCCAGGAAUAGACUCCUGAGGUAUGGUCUUCUGCCACAGAGCUUUCAGGCCUAGAAAAUUUGCUUGAAGCAGUUUUACUUGCUUGAAAAACUGCUGCGAUAAGAAGAUAUUUUUUUCAUUUGAAGUCUCACAUACUUAAAAUACAAAAAUAGAACAAAGACAUUGCAUUGCAAAUAGAAUUACAGUCUUAUUUUCUUAAUAGAGUAAAAAAUAAAUUGUCUAAAAUGAUUUUUGACAAAGGAAACUUUUUAUUUGAAAAUUAUGAUUUGCAGUCUUUCACUAGAAUGCUAAUUUAUUAACUCUCUUCAAAAUCCUGUAUCAGAAUUUACUCAGGCUUGCUGAUAGGGCUUAACAAAAAAGCAAAGCUAAGCAAGGCACCUAUACGCUUGGGCCUGACAUAAUGUGAUUUGAGAAAAUGUCAUCAUGCUUUAAAAUGCAAAGCGCCUAUCACAACCGAACAACAAAAGACGUUCUCUCAUUGAGUAUCUUUUCCAUAACAG